rnacentral:rRNA from 1 species
GAUAAACGCUGGCGGCGUGCCUAACACAUGCAAGUCGAACGUCCUCUCUCGCAAGAGAGAGGGAGUGGCGGACGGGUGAGUAACACAUGGGUCACCUACCCUUAAGUGAGGAAUACCGGCGAGAAAUCGCCGACAAGACCGCAUAGGCUCUCUCUUUUGCAAGAGAGAGCAAAGCUUCGCAAGAGGCGCUUGAGGAUGGGCCUGUGGCCGAUUAGCUGGUUGGAGGGUAAUGGCUUACCAAGGCGACGAUCGGUAGCUGGUCUGAGAGGACGAUCAGCCACACUGGGAUUGAGAACGG